AAGCAGGGAUAAAGAGACAGGACGGAAAUUAUUAAAAACAGUAGUGUCCUCAAUAGCCAGUGAGAAAUCUUUGAUAGAGUGCAAAAUAUUUGCCUAAUGCUGUCAAUUUUGUUUAGAAAGAAGUCCUUAAACUGCUCACAGCUGAUUUAGGUGGAAUUUAUAGUAAGGCAAGCAGCUCUAGUCACCAUCCCCGAGGAUGGUGACUGAAGCAGGAACAGAAGCAGCAGCUGGAGCAGCAUCAGCAGGCGGAGUAGAGGCUAUGGCCAGAGAGGUAGCAGUGUCAGCAGGAUGGGGACCAGUGACAACCAGCUCUUCAGCACUGGUGGCAGUAGCUUUUGCAGGGCUGAAGAUGAUAGUGUCGAGAUGAUAGAACAUGGAAAUUCUUGGCUCCAACUCAAUGAUCUUCUCGCUGAGACAGAUGCAGCUCUUGCAGCCAGAUGUUGAGGUGAACAUGGCUCUGAACAAGAAAGGGAAAGGAUGGAGGAGGAGGAAGCAGGAACCAGCACAGAGAUGAACCUGAGUCAGACAGGGAAAGUUUUGAGGAAGUCUUUUCAGGGACCUCUAUGGUGAUAUGUGUGACGACCAGCCAGUGCCACUAAACAAUAGUGUUUAAAAGUAAUUGAAGCGCAGAUAUGUUUUCCAUAUAAUAUACCGUGUAAUACACUUUAUAUUUUUACACUUAAUUUUUAUUAUAGUUAU